GUGAUAAAUAUGCGAGUGUGGAAAUUUUUGAAAAUCUUUACGACCAUCAUUCUAGAACUGUUUAAGGCUUAGGUAGUACCGUUAUUGAUUUUCAAGAUACGACAAUACAAACUAAUAUGCAAGUUAUAAAAAUCGGCUCUGAAAGAGAAAUUAAGACACGAUUUCUGCCUUUGCCACCUAAAACACCCAAACCAAAGACACCAAAUUCCAGACUGAAUUAAGCCAACAGGAAAAAUACAUGAUUAUGAUAAAAUACAUGAAUCAUUUACCAGGUGCAAUGCUAUUCGGAUUAUAUUCUGUCAAUAGAAGAUGUGUGAUACAAAAAAGCCUACGAGAAACAGUUGUGUUUUAAGGAUUUAUCUCUUAGUGUACAUGUCAAUUGCCAUGUAAUUAGAAAUUUUCAUAAUCUAUUUGAAGCAAGAAAUAAUGACAAAAAUGGCUGAAACUAAGAAGAAGGACCAAAUAUAAUAUAUGAAUGGAAAGCAUAUAUAGUGUGAUGCGAAUGAAACAACUCAUUAACUUUAAUUUUCAGCAAGAAACAAUGAAAGAACAAAUAUAAUGCCUGUUUGACUAUAACAGAGUGAUAACUUAAGGCAGUAUAAAAAAAAGAUUAAUAGCAUAGAAUUGUCAGAAACAUAAUUUCUAUAUUCCUUGAGUGGUAACUUAAAACCAAGCACCUUAAAGCUUUUCAUAAUUUAUAUUUUUAUUAUUUGGUAUUGGUUGCAAAUAUACUAGCCAAAAGACAAUGACCCAUAAAUUGCAAUAUUCUUCGUUCCGGGUUAAUAGUGCUAGUUAAAAGAUUGGUGUGUUUUAGAUUCCAGUAUUUGCAAUUGAAAAUAAAGGACAUACAUGUUAUAACAACAA
rnacentral:lncRNA from 1 species